rnacentral:rRNA from 1 species
CGCAUCUGUGCAUGCAGCAUAUCAAUAAGCGGAGGAAAAGGAAACUAACAAGGAUUCCCCUAGUAACGGCGAGUGAAGCGGGAAGAGCUCAAAUUUGAAAUCUUCAAGGUUUUACCUUGACGAAUUGUAGUUUAAAGAAGUGUUUUCUGCUGAAGGUUUUGGUAAAAGUUCUUUGGAAUAGGACAUCAUAGAGGGUGAGAAUCCCGUAUUUGACCUUUACUUUCAACUUUGUGAUACACUUUCAAAGAGUCGGAUUGUUUGGGAAUGCAGUCCUAAAUGGGUGGUAAAUUUCAUCUAAAGCUAAAUAUUGGCGAGAGACCGAUAGCGAACAAGUACCGUGAGGGAAAGAUGAAAAGAACUUUGAAAAGAGAGUUAAACAGUACGUGAAAUUGUCAAAAGGGAAGCGUUUGACACCAGUGUUGCUUUUCUGAAAAUCAAUUAAAGAACUGUUUAUGCUAAGCUGUUUAGACUUUAUCAGCUAAUCUGUUUAGUUUUGAGCUUUUCUUUAAUGCACUUUUCAGUUAACAAGUCAACAUCAAUUUCUUUUGCUGUAAAAAAGCUUGAGGAAGGUGGCUUGAGAUUCGUCUUAAGUGUUUAUAGCCUCUUGCCUAUGCAGUCGGAGAGAUUGAGGUCUGCAGCGUAGAUCCUUCGGGGCUAAAUGCAUUUGUGCUAAGUUAUAGCAUUUUAUAGACAACUUGUUGACUAUGAUUUGUCUUGUAGCUUACUCGCUUAUGUUAUUUUACCUACGCUUAGGAUGUUGACAGCAGUAUAGACUGU